AUUUUAUAGACAUUGUUGUAUGAUUGUACAGUAAUUACAUUGAUUUUACAGACAUUAUAGACUGACUGUACAGCGAUUAGAUUGAUUUUACUGACAUUAUAUCCUGAUUAUACAGCGAUUACAUUGAUUUUACUGACAUUAUAUCCUGAUUAUACAGUGAUUACAUUGAUUUUACUGACAUUAUAUCCUGAUUAUACAGUAAUUACAUUGAUUUUACUGACAUUAUAGGCUGACUGCACAGUGAUUACAUUGAUUUUACAGACAUUAUAGGCUGGUUGUAAUGUGAUUAUAUAUAUGCGGAACAUUGAACACUGAAUAGAAACUUAAUUAAUACAAAAAAUGUAUAUAAACAUGUUAUAUGGAUUGAAUGUGAAAAGGAAGAGGGUCAUCUGACUCUGUUACUAUAACUACAGACGCAGAUUGGGUCAGGCUGUGUUGUUAUACACCGGAAGCUCAGAAAUCUUAAGAACGGUCACUACUAUUAGAUGAAAUUAAUCAAGGCAAACGUUAGAGAACACCUGGAGAAGACAUUUUGCAUUCCAAUUUUAUGCAUUUGAAUUUUAUUCAUUUAAUUUAAUAUAUUUAAAUUUUAACUAUUUGAAUUCUAUCUUUUAAAAUUUCAUCUAUUUAAAUUUUACCUCAAUUACGAUACAUAGGUUGAGCACCUCCCAUGUAUAUAUCAAUGUUUCUCGUUGACUCGCAUGUAUAUAUCAAUGUUUCUCGUUGACUCGCAUGUAUAUAUCAAUGUUUCUCGUUGACUCGCACGUAUAUAUCAAUGUUUCUCGUUGGUUCAGAUAUUUGUGCAAAUGGGUCAUUGAUUUUGGGAUGAAACCGGACCCGCUGGAGGAAAAGCAUGUGCAAUAAUUAGCAACCAUAUUAACCUCUCACAUAUACAUGUACAUACGACAAUCAGUGAAACACGUAUAAUCACUGACACUCUGACAAGUAAUCACUGACACGUUCACGUGUAAUCACUGACACUCUGACGUGUAAUCUCUGACAUUCUCACGUGUAAUCACUGACACUCUCACGUAUAAUCACUGACACUCUCACGUGUAAUUAUUGACACUCUCACGUGUAAUCACUGACACUCUCAUGUGUAAUCACUGACACUCUCACGUGUAAUUAUUGACACUCUCACGUGUAAUCACUGAUAUUCUCACAUGUAAUCACUGACAUUCUCACGUGUAAUUACUGACACUCUCACGUGUAAUCACUGACACUCUGACGUGUAAUCACUGACAUUUUCACGUGUAAUCACUGACAUUCUCACGUGUAAUCACUGACACUCUCACGUGUAAUCACUGACAUUCUCACGUGUAAUCACUGACACGCUCACGUGUAAUUACUGACACUCACACGUGUAAUUAUUGACACUCUCACGUUUAAUCACUGACACUCUCACGUGUAAUUACUGACACUCUCACGUGUAAUCACUGACACUCUCACGUGUAAUCACUGACAUUCUCACGUGUAAUCACUGACAUUCUCACGUGUAAUCACUGACACUCUCACGUGUAAUCACUGACAUUCUCACGUGUAAUUACUGACACUCUCACGUGUAAUCAUUGACACUCUCACGUGUAAUCACUGACAUUCUCACGUGUAAUCACUGACAUUCUCACGUGUAAUCACUGACUUUCUCACGUGUAAUCACUGACACUCUCACGUGUAAUUACUGACACUCUCACGUGUAAUCACUGACACUCUCACGUGUAAUUACUGAUACUCUCACGUGUAAUCACUGACAUUCUCACGUGUAAUUACUGACACUCUCACGUGUAAUCACUGCCAUUCUCACGUGUAAUCACAGACAUUCUCACGUGUAAUCACUGACUUUCUCACGUGUAAUCACUGACAUUCUCACGUGUAAUCACUGACACUCUCACGUGUAAUUACUAACACUCUCACGUGUAAUCACUGAUAUUCUCACGUGUAAUCACUGACACUCUCACAUGUAAUCACUGACAUUCUCACAUGUAAUCACUGACAUUCUCACGUGUAAUUACUGACACUCUCACGUGUAAUCACUGACACUCUGACGUGUAAUCACUGACAUUCUCACGUGUAAUUACUGACACUCUCACGUGUAAUUACUGACACUCUCACGUGUAAUUACUGACACUCUCACGUGUAAUCACUGACACUCUCACGUGUAAUCACUGACAUUCUCACGUGUAAUCACUGAUAUUCUCACGUGUAAUUACUGACACUCUCACGUGUAAUCACUGACACUCUCACGUGUAAUUACUGACACUCUCACGUGUAAUCACUGACACUCUCACGUGUAAUCACUGACACUCUCACGUGUAAUCACUGACACUCUCACGUGUAAUCACUGACAUUCUCACGUGUAAUUACUGACACUCUCAUGUGUAAUCACUGACACUCUCACGUGUAAUCACUGACACUCUCACGUGUAAUCACGGACACUCUCAUGUGUAAUCACGGACACUCUCACGUGUAAUCACUGACACUCUCACGUGUAAUCACUGACAUUCUCACGUGUAAUUACUGACACUCUCAAGUGUAAUCACUGACAUUCUCACGUGUAAUCACUGACAUUCUCACGUGUAAUUACUGAUACUCUCAUGUGUAAUCACUGACACUCUCACGUGUAAUCACUGACACUCUCAUGUGUAAUCACUGACAUUCUCACGUGUAAUUACUGAUACUCUCACGUGUAAUCACGGACACUGUCAUGUGUAAUCACGGACACUCUCACGUGUAAUCACUGACACUCUCACGUGUAAUCACUGACAUUCUCACGUGUAAUUACUGACACUCUCAAGUGUAAUCACUGACAUUCUCACGUGUAAUCACUGACAUUCUCACGUGUAAUUACUGAUACUCUCAUGUGUAAUCACUGACACUCUCACGUGUAAUCACUGACACUCUCAUGUGUAAUCACUGACAUUCUCACGUGUAAUUACUGAUACUCUCACGUGUAAUCACGGACACUGUCAUGUGUAAUCACGGACACUCUCACGUGUAAUCACUGACACUCACGUGUAAUCACGGACAUUCUCACGUGUAAUCACUGGCACUUUCACGUGUAAUCACGGACACUCUCACGUGUAAUCACUGACAUUCUCACGUGUAAUCACUGACAUUCUCACGUGUAAUCACUGACACUUUCAGGUGUAAUUACUGACACUUUCACGUGUAAUCACGGACACUCUCACGUGUAAUCACUGACACUCUCACGUUUAAUCACUGAUACUCUCACGUGUAAUUACUGACACUCUCACGUAUAAUUACUUACACUCUCACGUGUAAUUAAUGACACUCUCACGUGGAAUUACUGAUACUCUCAAGUGUGAUCACUGACUCUCUUGCGUGUAAUCACUGACUUUCUCGCGUGUAAUCACCGUACUAUCACGUGUAAUGACUGACACAUCCACAUGUAAUCACCGACCCCCUCAGGUGUAAUCACAGUUGGCACUCUCACAUGCAAUGACUAGCACUCACUUUAAUCACUCUCACGUGUAAUCCCUUACACUAUUACGUGUAAUCACUGACCCCCUCACAUGCACAUGUAAUCACUGCCGAUUUUGAGGAUCGAACGUGGGUCACAGUUGUACACGUGAGAAGAUAUUAUGUAGUUAUGCAACAACUAUCUUACCAGUUAUUUACGUGUACUAUACUAUUGAGAAAACAUUGAUUUAGAGUUUUAAAGAGGAAGUUACACAGCGACUUUUUUGUAAAUCUCUCAGAUUAUCAGCAUAUCCUAACCCCUAGCAAAGUAGGAAGCUGAAAGAAAAAAGCAAUGGAAACGAUUUAUACAUCGUAAAUACGUGACAUUUGCUAAUGUCGGUCAAAGAUAAAGCGAUUUAUCAUGCCUGUCUGUUUGUCAUAAUUCAUGAUCUUUAUGGGGUGGGGCGCUGUUCAAGGAGAAAUUAAUUUGUUUUGCCUGUUUGUAUGAUAAUGCAUGGAUAGCCUUCGGACCGGGAAUGGCCGUGGGGGCGUUGCUCGAGGAUAAAAUGUCUAUGCUAUUUGUUCGUCGUAAUAUUUAGACACCCUUUUGAUGGGGAUGGUUGAUGGGGAUGGAGUGGUUCCACUGCAUAUAUUCAGCCGGAUUAACAGACCUCACUGACUCACCCCCUCCUUCCCCAGAAUUCGACAUCAAGAAUGGACACUGUGCAUGUAGUUUUGGACUUGGUAUCGGGGCGGAUCCAGGAAUCGUUGUUAGGAGGCACAACUUUAUGAGGCAGGGGAUCCUGGGAGCCGAAGCACCUGGAACUUCCUGGAUUUUACAGAUUUUAUUGGGCUUGAAAUAUGACUCAUAUGUGGUAAUUUUUAUCAUAUCCUGCCAUUUUGAAUAAGGUGAAAUUAAUAGAAUGACGAAAAUUUUAAGGGUUUUUGGAAGAAAUAUAAGUUCUCCCAAUAAAAGUAAUUCAAUAAA